rnacentral:tRNA from 1 species
UAGAGAGUAAUAUAAUGGGAGUAUGAAGGGUUUUGAUCCCUUUAGUGCAGGUUCAAAUCCUGUCUUUCUAA